UGAACGCUGGCGGCGUGCCUACUACAUGCACGUCGAGCGACCAGAUGAGGAGCUUGCUCCUCUGACGUUAGCGGCGGACGGGUGAGUAACACGUGGAUAACCUACCUAUAAGACUGGGAUAACUUCGGGAAACCGGAGCUAAUACCGGAUAAUAUAUUGAACCGCAUGGUUCAAUAGUGAAGGACGGUUUUGCUGUCACUUAUAGAUGGAUCCGCGCCGCAUUAGCUAGUUGGUAAGGUAACGGCUUACCAAGGCAACGAUGCGUAGCCGACCUGAGAGGGUGAUCGGCCACACUGGAACUGAGACACGGUCCAGACUCCUACGGGAGGCAGCAGUAGGGAAUCUUCCGCAAUGGGCGAAAGCCUGACGGAGCAACGCCGCGUGAGUGAUGAAGGUCUUCGGAUCGUAAAACUCUGUUAUUAGGGAAGAACAAAUGUGUAAGUAACUAUGCACGUCUUGACGGUACCUAAUCAGAAAGCCACGGCUAACUACGUG
rnacentral:rRNA from 1 species